rnacentral:rRNA from 1 species
UACAGAGGUCUCAAGCGUUGUUCGGAUUCAUUGGGCGUAAAGGGUGCGUAGGUGGGCAGGUAAGUCAGUGGUGAAAUCUCCGGGCUUAACCCGGAAACUGCCAUUGAUACUAUCUGUCUUGAAUACCGUGGAGGUGAGCGGAAUAUGUCAUGUAGCGGUGAAAUGCUUAGAUAUGACAUAGAACACCAAUUGCGAAGGCAGCUCACUACGCGAAUAUUGACACUGAGGCACGAAAGCGUGGGGAUCAAACAGG